GAAGGAUCAUUGUCGAAACCUGCAUAGCAGAACGACCCGUGAACAUGUACCAAACAAAUGGCUUUGCGUGAUUCGAUACAUAUGUGUUGAACCUCGUAAAGCAUUGUCGACUUGGGUUCAUUAUGGUUCUUUUAAGGCGUUGUGGACACUAAGUUGACAUAACAACCCCCCGGCACGGGACGUGCCAAGGAAAUAUAAAACUUAAAGGGCCCAUGCUCUAAAGUCCCAUUUAUGGUGUGCUUGUUGUAUGUGGCUUCUUUUGAAAUCUAUAACGACUCUCGGCAACGGAUAUCUCGGCUCACGCAUCGAUGAAGAACGUAGCAAAAUGCGAUACUUGGUGUGAAUUGCAGAAUCCCGUGAACCAUCGAGUUUUUGAACGCAAGUUGCGCUCGAAACCAUCCGGUUGAGGGCACGUCUGCCUGGGCGUCACGCAUCAUGUUGCUUCCACCUAACAUUCCUAUAAUGGGAUAUGAUGGGUAGGGGCGGAGAUUGGUCUCCCGUGCCUAUGUGCGGUUGGCCCAAAAUAGGAGUCUUCCCAAGGGAAACGCACAAACUGUGGUGGUUGAUAAUACAGUCGUCUUGUGUUGUGUAUGUUUAUCCUUUAAGGGAGAUUCUUUAUAAAACCUGAAUGUGUUGUCUUCGGAUAAUGCUUCGAUUGCGACCCCAGGUCAGGCGGGACUACCCGCUGAGUUUAAGCAUAUC
rnacentral:rRNA from 1 species